GGAAGGUUGGCCGAGCGGUUGAAGGCGCACGUUUGGAGUACGUGUUUACACUCUGUGUAACGUGGGUUCGAAUCCCAUGCCUUCCG
rnacentral:tRNA from 2 species